rnacentral:lncRNA from 1 species
AGGGGAGCUGACCUGACAGAGACCCUAACACCAACAGGUAACACAGUCCGUACGCUGUCUCCUUGCUAGGGUGUGGGAAAGGAACACUCGAUCAGAUGUGAGGCACCUGAUCCACAGGACGGAAAGGAAUAGCCCUGGUCUGUGGUGUUUGCACACAGCAAUUUCCCAACUGCAGUGCGCCGGUAAAGAAGUCAGCCAGAACUCUGCCCGCUUGAGUUGACUCUGCGAAACAGAAGCAGAUUAACAGAGCUCAGCAAAUAGCAAUCUUGUUGGCUGAAAUCCCGACAAUUCCAAAGACAACUGGAAGGAGUUAGGCUGAAUGGCUUGGCGUCAUGCUAGGGGUCAGGCUAGAUUACAUUAUGGUCCAGUACAUCAUCCUGUAUGUGCUUUACCUGAACAAGUGAGUAUUACAAGACCUGCUGUAGCCCAAGGCUUGUUAAGAUGAUGGAGAGACAAGCUAGACUGACUCGGGAUGCCCAGGACGGCUAUCCUACAACAAAGAUCCUAAAGCACCUGCUGCUGUGACUGGAGAUGCAGAGUGAGGUCCCAUCCAUUGGUCUGGGAGACCAAGAGACACCACAGCCACUGUCUAGUCACGUCUGCUGAUAAAACAGUGCCAUACUGAGCGAGAUACAUUGUGGAGACAGGAUGCACCCCCAGACAGCACUACUCUGCCACACUGUGAAUGGACGACUGCCAACCGCUGAGCCAACCCAGAGGUGAUGAAGCACCCAGAUGUCCCAUGAAAUCACAAGAGAUCAUCAAAAUCUUUAUUUUGAGUCAUUUGGUUUCAAAAUCAUUCAUUCCCCAGCAAUAGAUAUAGGGGAAUUACAUGACCUAGUAAAUAAAAGUCUUGACUCAAGAACGCUGCAAAGAAAAAACACCCAUGAUGACAGAGAGGCCCUUGCCUCAGACUGCAGGGCCCAAUGGAGACUGUGUAGCUGUGGUUAAGAUAGGAAUCAUGCACAAACAGUCCCGCACUAUGAACAUAUGUGCCUUGGCUUACCAUUGGAUUGCCAUAAAGCCCAUUGUAUGGCAAGUUGGAAAAGUUAUAAGUCUAUGUGAUUAAGGCACCCUAUGGAUUAAAAUGCACCAAUCCGACACAGGGUUAGGACCGCUCAUGGAGGCAGAUAGGAGAAGUUUGCGCACACUCCACAUCGCUGCCAGGCUGGGCGUCAGGCUGUGAGAAGCAACAGGGGUGGGGAAGCGCAGUCUGAGAUGCCCAAGGAACUACCAAAGUUGGCUCAGACUCUUGGGCACCACAUACGUCUCUGGGUGCCACGGAAGAGCGGGUUCUGGAGUCCCCGGGGCCGCAUGGAGGGAUGGCAGGUUCUCACUCUCGGACACCGCAGACAUCUCUGGAUGUAGCGGAAGAGCUGAGAAUGAGCAGGGGGAGCCACAGGCUGACUCUAGCCCGGGGUCGAAGGAAAAAGGGCAGAAGGAGAGCUCCCGGCUGGUUCUCUCGGGGAUGAGAGUCCUUGGUUUGUUCAGGCAGGAGGCUUGGCUUGGUGGAGACCAUGUCUGGGAGCACAGGGAGGCCUCCCACAGGAGAUUAGAUGCGCGUCUCUUUAAGAGGAAGACCUGCUCCACUGCUCCAGCACAGCAGGUUUCGGUGAGAAGAGGAAGUCCAUGGCUUUAAGGCCUUUAUUGUAGAAAGGCAGAGAGAGGGAGAGAGUAGAGAAGUAGGGGUCGGUCAUGGCCAUGUAGAGAGAGGGAAGAAGGAAAUGCCGGGGUGGGGGGGUAGCAAGAGGGCAAGAGAGAAAGGCAAGAGUAGAGAGUAAGAGUAAGAGUAAGAGAGGGAGGAGGGGGGCAAACAGCCCCUUUUAUAGUGGGCCAUGCCUACCUGGCUAUUGCCAGGUGACUGUGGGGGUGGAGUUCAGACAGAAUACAGGGGUACAUGAUUGAUGGCCACAGAAUUAUGGAGCUGGGCCUUGUAUCAGGAGCCUGGUGUCUGAGACCGUGGCAGACUUCCUUCCGUUCCUUGCGGAGUUAUCUACUGGGUCUCCAGGAUUUUAACCUAGCUCAACCAGAAAACAGGCUGCCUUUCACGGUCCUACAGUACCCAGCAUCCUGAUCCCCACAGGGUAGCAACUCAGCUAGCUCAGGUUCUCUCCUAUUCACUCUGGAGUCUACAGCGCUGGCUUGGAGUUGAAGCUCACUGCUCGUAUUCAGCAUCAUGAGAGAGGCUGUGAAGUAAGCUUGGGAUAUAACCAACCAGGGUCACAAAAUGAAGCUCUCCGGAAGGCAAAUGGAUCCCAUAAGUUAUGGACUACAGAGAAAAGAUCAAAGUUUCUGUCCAGUGAAUAACAUUUUCAACCCACAAUAAAGUUGACAGUUGUGGGUUGAUUUCAUCAGAAGUCAGGGACCAUCUGUACCACUCUGCUUCACAAUGGCACCCUGGUGAGAGGACGGGGCUUGAGGUUCCACGUGGAGGGUUGUAAAGGCUCUAGUGUGAUGGUUAACCUGGUGUCCAGCGGUGGGAAUGGCCAUGACACACCAAUCAGCUGCUUUAACACUAUCUCUGGCAGUGUCCAGAGGGAGCUUCCUAGAGAUCAGCCUUUGGGAGGCUGAGAAAAGAUCCUAGUGUGGCUGUACAUACACAAACCUGCAGAAUGGACUGACUGGGAUGGGUGACAAACCCUGCUGGUUGCUGGGUUGGUGCAUGGAGCUCUCUGGUUCUCAGGCCUUUAGACUUGGGCUGGAAUCUAUACCAUGAGCCUUUUAACUUGGGGGGGGGGAGCAUAUCCUACACCAGCAGGAGUUUCUGGGUCUAAAGCUUGCAAACAGGAUGUCAUGGAUGGCUCAGCUUCUAUAAAAAUGAGUCAGCUCUUCAUCAUAAAUCUUUCUUUAUACAGAUAUGAAUGUAGACUUGAGAGAUGCAGUAGAGAAGAGAGGGGGAGGAGAGAGAUUCUCGUAGAUCUGUCUCUGCUGAGAAGUUCAACCAGCUUGUCCAUGAUCUAUUUUCUCUCAGACUCUGUCUGGCAUUACCAGGAAACUCAAGUGCACAAAUGUCACCUAGUCCACCCAAUAAGCAGCUCUCUCCACUCUGGCCGGCCCUACCUUCAUCUUCAAAUAAAUAUACCCAUCAGACCAAGAGGCUCAUGGGAAGUGAAGUGUGAAGUCCAUACUCAGAGGACAGACCUAGGGAAGAUUACAGGCCUAGGAGAAGAGUAGAGGUGGCAUGACCCAAAGUUUGGGGUGCUGGUGCUGGGUUGCAGCCUAGAAAGAAGGAUACGGGACAUGGCUGGCCUGACUUCUUCACCUGAAGAUUCCUUGCCUUGUGAGGAGGCUCUUGGGAGCAAAGGGUGGCAGGUCUAGGGAGAGCCUCCUCUUGCCACAGUCUGAGGCUGACACUGAAGGCUGCAAUAGGCCUGGAAAAGCUGAGCAGCAGAAGAAAGCAACAGAGCAUAGGUUUAUUCUCUCUUAGCUCUUGACCAUGGAUGUGAUAUGACUAACUGCUUAAGUUCCGGCCUUGACUUCUCCAAAACGAUGGACUGUAACCUAGAAUGGUAAGUAAAAUAAAUCCUUGCUCUGCUCAGUUGUUUUUGUCAGGAUAUGAAUCAUAGCAACACAAUUAUACUCUGAAAAUCUUCUGCCAAGUGAAAGAAGCCAGACAUGCAGAGGCCCCUAGUGGGACAAGAAUUAAAAAUCCACGAGCUGUCUGUAUUUGGCAAAUCUACAGGGACAUCAAGUAAAUUAGUAGUUGGGUAGAGCCGAAGGUUUGAAAUAAGCAAAGAGUGAAGAACAGGGAAUUCUAAAAUAUGUACACAUUGUGGGCAGCCACCCUACUGAACGACUUAACAUAUGAAUCACCUCAUGUUACUUGCCUGUGGCUCCUGGUGAGAACACUUGAGAACACUUCAUUUUCUCUCUGUUUUCAAAGACACCAUACAUUGUUGUUAGCCAUGGUCACUUUGUAUACAGAAGACAUAUCAUUCCUUCUAACUAGAGGAAUACCCUAACUGAAGUUGAUGCUUUUAAGAUUGUAGCAACACCUCUCCAUGUGAUUACCCCAGUCCCAGUAGCCAUAGCUCUCUUCUACUUUAACAUUUGUACUGUACGCCAGGCGGUGGUGGCACAUGCCUUUAAUCCCAGCACUUGGGAAGCAGAGGCCAGCCUGGUCUACAUAGUGAAGUCCAGGACAGCCAAGGCUACACAGAGAAACCCUGUCUCAAAAAACAUUUGUACUGUAUUACUUGGUAGGGGUGUAUGUGUGUGGGGGUGUGUAUGUAUGUGCCCAUGACACCCAUUCAGAGGCCAGAGGAAGAUACUGAGUAUCUUCCACUGUCACCUGGUCACCUGCCUCCUUGUCCUCCUGUACACUGGUUACUUUUCUAUUGAUGUGAUGGAACCCUGUAACCAAGGCAACUAGGAGAAGGGUUUAUGAUCCCAAAGGGAUAAAGAGGUCACUGCGGGCUAAGUGUGACAGGCGGUGGCGGAAACAGGAAACUCGAAGCUCACGUCCACAAAUACAAGCACAAAGCAGAGAGGGCACAUUGGAAAUGGCUCAAGGCUUUAACCUCCUAACCUUGGAGCCCUCUCCAGCAGUGACAACCUUCCUCCAGCAAGGCCACGCCUCUUUAACCUCAGCAAAUAGCACCUACUACUGCCAAUCAAGUGUUCAAAGGCCUGAGAUGAUGGAGAUCAUUCUCAUUCGAACCACUGUACCUAGAGAGGUUUCUCACUUGCCUUACCUCAAGCUCCCGGGAGCCAGAUGUCUCUGCCCUUCCCCAGCCCCCUUGCUGGGGUGUCCCCACACCCAGCUUUCAUGUGGGAGCUGGAGAUUCAAACCCCAGUCUUUAUACUUGCAUAGAGCACUUUUACCCACCCACGGAGCCAUAUCCCUGGCCCCUCUACUUUGCUCCUACCAGUUUAUGUGACGUUGUUUGCACCUGGCUUAUUUUAUUUAACAGAACAUCUUCCAGGUCUAACCAUACCGUCACAAAUAUAUUCGCUAC